UGGAGAGUUUGAUCCUGGCUCAGAUUGAACGCUGGCGGCAGGCCUAACACAUGCAAGUCGAACGGUAACAGGGAGCAGCUUGCUGCUCUGCUGACGAGUGGCGGACGGGUGAGUAAUGUCUGGGAAACUGCCUGAUGGAGGGGGAUAACUACUGGAAACGGUAGCUAAUACCGCAUAACGUCUWCGGACCAAAGUGGGGGACCUUCGGGCCUCAUGCCAUCAGAUGUGCCCAGAUGGGAUUAGCUAGUAGGUGGGGUAACGGCUCACCUAGGCGACGAUCCCUAGCUGGUCUGAGAGGAUGACCAGCCACACUGGAACUGAGACACGGUCCAGACUCCUACGGGAGGCAGCAGUGGGGAAUAUUGCACAAUGGGCGCAAGCCUGAUGCAGCCAUGCCGCGUGUAUGAAGAAGGCCUUCGGGUUGUAAAGUACUUUCAGCGGGGAGGAAGGYGYUGUGGUUAAUAACCACAGCRAUUGACGUUACCCGCAGAAGAAGCACCGGCUAACUCCGUGCCAGCAGCCGCGGUA
rnacentral:rRNA from 1 species